GACGAACGCUGGCGGCGUGCCUAAUACAUGCAAGUCGAACGCAUUUUCUUUCACCGUAGCUUGCUACACCGAAAGAAAAUGAGUGGCGAACGGGUGAGUAACACGUGGGUAACCUGCCCAUCAGCGGGGGAUAACACUUGGAAACAGGUGCUAAUACCGCAUAAUUCCAUUUACCGCAUGGUAAAUGGAUGAAAGGCGCUUUUGCGUCACUGAUGGAUGGACCCGCGGUGCAUUAGCUAGUUGGUGGGGUAACGGCCUACCAAGGCUGCGAUGCAUAGCCGACCUGAGAGGGUGAUCGGCCACACUGGGACUGAGACACGGCCCAGACUCCUACGGGAGGCAGCAGUAGGGAAUCUUCGGCAAUGGACGCAAGUCUGACCGAGCAACGCCGCGUGAGUGAAGAAGGUUUUCGGAUCGUAAAACUCUGUUGUUAGAGAAGAACAAGGAUGAGAGUGGAAAGUUCAUCCCUUGACGGUAUCUAACCAGAAAGCCACGGCGAACUACGU
rnacentral:rRNA from 1 species